ACGGGGGAUUAACGCUUGCACCGCCCGCCCCGCUGAUGGAGACACCAGCUGGAGACGGCUGCUUGUCCCGAACACUCUCCUCUUAAAGCAUGGUGAGAUGAGUACCAUUGCCCUCUGGAUGGCCUACCGCUGUUAGAUAGUUUUGGUCUGAUUAACUGACUGGUGAGUAACGGCCCACCAAGGCGACGAUUAGUACCCGGCCUGGGACGAUGAACGGCCGCAUUGCAGCUGAGACUCCUACCAGACUCCUAAUUUUGGAUAAAGUGGGGAAGCUUCCGCAGUGUGGGACCGGGCGACGGAAAGGGCCGCGGGUCUUAAGGGGUUUGCUAGUUGAAAACUCUGUUAUAGGAUAAUAACUGCCGGGUAGGGUAGAGUUAACCUGAAUGACGAUCCCCUACGAGACAGCUGCCGCUAACUAUAUCCCGACGGCUGCGGUAAUACGUAUGUGUGAAUCGUUGUCCAGAUCGAUUUGUUAUAUCGGUCGCGUGAGCUGAUGUCCAGGUCCUUCUACUAAUUUUCUUGGGAGCUGAUGGGGAAGAUGUAAUUCUAGACUGGGUAAGAGUGUCCGGAGAGGACAUCGAAAUUCAUACCCGUAGGCGGAGAAAUGCUUACGUAUUAGCAGUGCCCUCGGCGGUGCUAGCGGCUCUCGCUACCACCGCUGAACUGACGCGCGAAAACCUAACCGAACAAACGGCAUACGAUCCCCCCGGCAAACCAG
rnacentral:rRNA from 1 species